CUUUCCGUGGCCUCUCGGGGCUCUGAUCCUCCCUUUCGAGAAGAUAAUUAGAAUUAGAUAAGGUCAUCGUGUUGCGGCCCUCAUGAUUGAACUGGUGGCUUUAUAAGAAGAAAAGAAAGGGGAAUGGCCAAGAUGGCUGAGUAGAAACAGCGCCUAUCUGCAGCUCCCACUGAGACGAACAAAAAGGAUUUUUUGGGAGGUAUCUUGCGUCUGUUGAGAGAUGGCUUCAGGAGGAAGCUAUAUAUGUAUAUGACUUUAAGGAAGAAAUUAGUUGGAAUGCAGGUAUCUAAAAUCUAC
rnacentral:lncRNA from 1 species